CAGCACCAUAGUGAUGUGAAUUUCCUACCAGCACUCAACUCACAGAGGGGAUACUAAUACACCCCUGGCUGAGUAUUCAGCCAAUAGAUGAAAAAAGAUUCAAGGAAGACACAUUUGCUUUUUAUUCACUCAUCACUUCCCAUCACUAUGCUGACCAGAGUCAAUGUGAGCAGAGUUGAGAAUAGCAGUUUUCUGGCAGGAGAGCCACUUCUCAGCAAAAAAUGACACACUCAAAGUAUAAAUCUUUCAUGGAAGGCUCACAUAUUUUCAGCAAAUUAAGCAUAUGCAUGAAUAAAAUUCUUGUGGUGAAAUAAAGAUUCAUUUUAUUGAUUCCUAUUGAGCUCAGGUAAUAUUGGAUGAAAAGCAAAAAAAUUAUUUGAAAUAGAAAUAUUGUGAAUAAAGUUAUUGUCA
rnacentral:lncRNA from 10 species